UACAGGGGGGGCAAGCGUUGUUCGGAAUUACUGGGCGUAAAGGGCGCGUAGGCGGCAUAUUAAGUCAUCUGUGAAAUCUCCGAGCUUAACUCGGAACUGUCAGCUGAUACUGAUGUGCUAGAGUGCGGAAGGGGCAAUCGGAAUUCUUGGUGUAGCGGUGAAAUGCGUAGAUAUCAAGAGGAACACCUGAGGUGAAGACGGGUUGCUGGGCCGACACUGACGCUGAGUGCGCGAAAGCCAGGGGAGCAAACGGG
rnacentral:rRNA from 1 species